rnacentral:rRNA from 1 species
AUUGAACGCUGGCGGCAGGCCUAACACAUGCAAGUCGAGCGGAUGAAGGGAGCUUGCUCCUGUAUUCAGCGGCGGACGGGUGAGUAAUGCAUACGAAUCUGCCUGGUCUUGGGGACUAACGUCCGGAAACGGGCGCUAAUCCCGUAUCCGUCCUUAUGGUGAACGUGAUGGUUCUUUGGACCUCACGCUAUCUGCUGAGCCUAGUUCGGAUUAGCUAGUUGGUGUGGUAAAGGCCUACCAAGGCGACGAUCCGUAACUGGUCUGAGAGGAUGAUCAGUCACACUGGAACUGAGACACGGUCCAGACUCCUACGGGAGGCAGCAGUAGGGAAUAUUGGACAAUGGGCGAAAGCCUGAUCCAGCAAUGCCGCGUGAGUGAAGAAGGUCUUCGGAUUGUAAAGCACUGUAAGUUGGGAGGAAGGGAAGUAAGUUAAUACCUUGAUGUUUUGACGUUACCAACAGAAUAAGCAACGGCUAACUACGUG